AGGAGGAACAACCACAGUGGCGGCGGCCAGCUCUGGAGCCCUGGAUUCAGCUCCUGCAGUAACUACGGAGCUCUCCGUCUGCAGGGGCCUGGAUGCUCCAGAGGCAGG
rnacentral:pre_miRNA from 1 species